rnacentral:rRNA from 1 species
GAAAGUCUGACGGAGCAACGCCGCGUGAGUGAUGAAGGUUUUCGGAUUGUAAAGCUCUGUUGUUAGGGAAGAACAAGUACCGUUCGAAUAGGGCGGUACCUUGACGGUACCUAACCAGAAAGCCACGGCUAACUACGUGCCAGCAGCCGCGGUAAUACGUAUGUGGCAAGCGUUGUCCGGAAUUAUUGGGCGUAAAGGGCUCGCAGGCGGUUUCUUAAGUCUGAUGUGAAAGCCCCCGGCUCAACCGGGGAGGGUCAUUGGAAACUGGGGAACUUGAGUGCAGAAGAGGAGAGUGGAAUUCCACGUGUAGCGGUGAAAUGCGUAGAGAUGUGGAGGAACACCAGUGGCGAAGGCGCCCAUCUGGACGGUAACUGACGCUGAGACGCGAAAGCGUGGGGAGCAAACA